UGCUAGUCGUGCGCUUCAGCCAAAACGAGGCGCGGCAUACAGCUCAGUAACACGUGGCUAAUCUGCCCUUGGGACGAGAACAACCCCGGGAAACUGGGGCUAAUUCUCGAUAGGUGAAGAACUCUGGAAUGAGUCUUCGCUUAAAAAACUUCACGUUACGCUCGUGAAGUCGCCCAAGGAUGAGGCCGCGACCGAUCAGGUUGUUGGUGAGGUAAUGGCUCACCAAGCCUUUUACCGGUGCGGGCCGUGGGAGCGGGAGCCCGGAGAUGGGCACUGAGACAAGGGCCCAGGCCCUACGGGGCGCAGCAGUCGCGCAAACUUUGCAAUACACGAAAGUGUGACAGGGCUAUCCCGAGUGCCGUCCGCUGAGGAUGGCUUUUACCCAGUCUAGAACGCUGGGGGAAUAAGGAGAGGGCAAGUCUGGUGUCAGCCGCCGCGGUAAUACCAGCUCUCCGAGUGGUGUGGAUGUUUAUUGGGCCUAAAGCAUCCGUAGCUGGCCAAGUUAGUCCCUUGUUAAACCCACCGAAUUAAUCGUUGGAUUGCGGGGGAUACUGCUCGGCUAGGGGACGAGAGAGGCAGACGGUAUUUUCGGGGUAGGGGUGAAAUCCUAUAAUCCCGGGAAGACCACCAGUGGCGAAGGCUGUCUGCUAGAACGCGCCCGACGGUGAGGGAUGAAAGCUGGGGGAGCGAACCGGAUUAGAUACCCGGGUAGUCCCAGCUGUAAACGAUGCAGCUAGGUGUUUGGACGGCCACGUGCCGUUCUAGUGCCGCAGGGAAGCUGUUAAGCCUGCCGCCUGGGGAGUACGGUCGCAAGAUUGAAACUUAA
rnacentral:rRNA from 1 species